rnacentral:rRNA from 1 species
GCUAAACCUAGUCCUACCAUUAAACAACUUAACUAUAUCCAAUAAUACUCCAAAUCAUUUAAUAGACUAAGUAUAGGUGAUAGAACAGAAUUAUAAGGAACGAUAACGACAGUACCGCAAGGGAAAUUUGAAAUAUUAUUAUUUUCAAGCAAUAGAAAGCAAAGAUUCAGCCUUGUACCUUUUGUAUAAUGAUUUAGCUAGUCAACACGGACAAAAAGAAUUUAAGCCCGUCUUCCCGAAAUUAAGUGAGCUAUUAUAGGACUGUUGGCAGAACUAACUCGUCUAUGUGGCAAAAUAGUGAGAUGAUCUUAUAAUAGAGGUGAUAAGCCUAUCGAACUUAAGGAUAGCUGGUUGUCCAAAACACGAAUUUAAGUUCGAAUUUAAAUUUAACUAAAGUAUAUGCAAACACAACUUAAAUUUAAAUUAUAAUCAAAAGGGGGACAACCCUUUUGACAUGAAGACAAACUUUAACAGAGGGUAAUGAAAACCUAACAAAGCAUAGUAGGCCUAGAAGCAGCCAUCAAUUAAGAUAGCGUUAAAGCUCAAAUUAAACUAAUAUUAAAUACCUAUAAUUUAUCAAAACCCCUUAAUCUAAUAUUGGACAAUUCUAUAAUUUUAUAGAAGAUAUAAUGCUAAUAUUAGUAACAUGAACUAAUUUCUCCUAGCAUAGACUUAAACUCAGUUCGGAAGCACCACUAGUAAUUAACAAACAAAAUAAUUAAACCCAUAAUCAAGUUUUAUAUUUAUUCUAUUGUUAACCCAACACAGGCAUGCAUAAAUGGAAAGAUUAAAAGGAAUAAAAGGAACUCGGCAAACAAAAACCCCGCCUGUUUACCAAAAACAUCACCUCUAGCAUUACCAGUAUUAGAGGCACUGCCUGCCCGGUGAGUUAUAACUUUAACGGCCGCGGUAUCCUGACCGUGCAAAGGUAGCAUAAUCACUUGUCUUUUAAAUAGAGACUAGUAUGAAUGGCAUGACGAGGGUUUAUCUGUCUCUUAUUUCUAAUCAGUGAAAUUGACCUUCCCGUGAAGAGGCGGGAAUAUCUAUACAAGACGAGAAGACCCUGCGGAGCUUAAGACACCUAACUCAACUAUUACCCUUAUACCCUAAAGGAACAAAAGGUAAACCAACUGAGUUAAAGUCUUUGGUUGGGGUGACCUCGGAGCAUAAAAGAACCUCCGAAUGAUUAAUAACCAAGAUUUACUUUUCUAAGUGUAUAACUACCAGUAAUUGACCCAUCAAUUGAUCAACGAAAUAAGUUACCCCAGGGAUAACAGCGCUAUCCUAUUCAAGAGCCCAUAUCGAAAAUUAGGGUUUACGACCUCGAUGUUGGAUCAGGACUCCCAAAUGGUGCAGAAGCUAUUAACGGUUCGUUUGUUCAACGAUUAAAGUCCUACGUGAUCUGAGUUCAGACCGGAGAAAUCCAGGUCGGUUUCUAUCUGUAAUUUACUCCUCCCAGUACGAAAGGACAAGAGAAGUAGGGCCUACACUGCAAGCAAGCCCUAGAGCCAAAAUAUGAACUAAUCUAAAUAUUAUAACUUUAUUUAUUCCAACCUAAGAAUAGAGGU